rnacentral:rRNA from 1 species
AUGAAAUUACUAGCCUUUUUGGCUAGUAUAAUUUUUUUUGCUUCUGGUCAGCAAGUAUGCCGACGGCAUUGCCCUCGGCAUAGACCAGGAGCAACCAGGACGCGCCACGUGGCAGGGAUAUGCCUACGGCAAAACCAUCGGCAUAGAUGUCUAUGCCGACGGCUUUGCCGUAGGCAUAUCCUUGCCGCCAGGAGAAGCCAGGGGACGACACGUGGCGCAGGUGUGCCGACGGCUAGGCCGUCGGCAUACCUGCGCCAUGUGUCUUCCCCUGGUUCGCUAGCGCUUUUGACGGCGCCGUCCGUUGCCGUCAGACGGAAAACAACGCCGAUGGCUAAACUAUGCCGACGGUUGUCCCACGGCCGUCGGCAUACGGACCUAUGCCGACGGCUAUACUACGCCGACGGUCUGACACAUCUACGCUGA